CUGAAGUGAUAGCUGAUCUUGAGAAGAGACAGAUUAUCACUAGAACUCAUUCUCCUUACAAUUCACCUGUUUGGCCAGUCCGAAAAUCGAAUGGCCGAUGGAGAUUGACGGUAGAUUUCCGGAAGCUAAAUAGUAACACUCCUCCUCUUACUGCAGCAGUUCCUAGUCUUUCAUCCACAGUGACAGCAAUCCAAGCGGCUUCUCACACCUGGAUGGCGACUCUAGACGUGAAGGACAUGUUCUUCAUGGUGCCAUUGAGAGAAGAGGACAAACCGCAGUUUGCUUUUACCUGGCAAGCCUUUCUGGUUUUUUCCCGGACUUAACAACAACAAACUGCUCGCCGAUCUAGUCUCGCCUCGGGCGGACCCCGAGUCGCAGAGGCUAAAAUCUGCAUACCUGGACCCUUAUCGGGAGAAUGAGAGACUCCUUACCAAGCUACAGACUGUGAGUAGCUGACUGACGAACUAUUAACUCAAACCACAAAGACUCAAAAGAACUCUCUUUAAACAUCAUAGACUCUUUAAUUUGCCAUUUUCGGAAAUGUUACUUUGAUCUCAAUCAAAAAGAAUUCACAGUGGUGGUGUAGUUUCGGGAAGAGGGAAUCCGCAUUCUUUGCAAUAAAUCACUGAUAAAAUA